UGAGCAAUCUGCCCUUCUCUUCGGAAUAAGCGUUGGAAACGACGUCUAAUGCCGAAUACGACCUCCUUUCGCAUGAUCGGAGGUGGAAAGCUCCGGCGGAGAAGGAUGAGCUCGCGGCCUAUCAGCUAGUUGGUGUGGGUAAUGGCCCACCAAGGCGAUGACGGGUAGCCGGCCUGAGAGGGUGACCGGCCACACGUGGGACUGAGACACGGCCCAGACUCCUACGGGAGCAG
rnacentral:rRNA from 1 species